UAUUAAAAAUUCAAUCUAUUUCUACUGUUAAAAAUUAGUAUGGGUGACAGAAUAAUCAAACAGUUACACCUAGGGUGCCACGUGUAUCUCAUUCUAAUGUAUAAAGGCCAGUUUUUAACAAUAGAAAUGCAUAGAUUUUUAAUA
rfam:Gossypium raimondii Chr13_contig_323, whole genome shotgun sequence.